rnacentral:rRNA from 1 species
UACAGAGGGUGCAAGCGUUGUUCGGAAUUAUUGGGCGUAAAGCGCGCGCAGGCGGUCCUUUAAGUCUGAUGUGAAAGCCCACGGCUCAACCGUGGAGGGUCAUUGGAAACUGGGGGACUUGAGUACAGAAGAGAAGAGUGGAAUUCCACGUGUAGCAGUGAAAUGCGUAGAGAUGUGGAGGAAUACCGAUGGCGAAGGCAGCCCCCUGGGAUAACAGUGACGCUCAUGCACGAAAGCGUGGGGAGCAAACAGG